AUUGAACGCUGGCGGCAUGCCUUACACAUGCAAGUCGAACGGUAACAGGGAGCUUGCUCCGCUGACGAGUGGCGAACGGGUGAGUAAUGUAUCGGUACGUACCUUUUAGUGGGGGAUAACGUAGCGAAAGUUACGCUAAUACCGCAUAUUCUCUGAGGAGGAAAGCAGGGGACCUUCGGGCCUUGCGCUAAUAGAGCGGCUGAUAUCAGAUUAGCUAGUUGGUGAGGUAAAGGCUCACCAAGGCGACGAUCUGUAGCGGGUCUGAGAGGAUGAUCCGCCACACUGGAACUGAGACACGGUCCAGACUCCUACGGGAGGCAGCAGUGGGGAAUUUUGGACAAUGGGGGCAACCCUGAUCCAGCCAUGCCGCGUGAGUGAAGAAGGCCUUCGGGUUGUAAAGCUCUUUCGGCCGGGAAAAAAUCGCAUGGGCUAAUACCCUGUGUGGAUGAUGGUACCGGAAUAAAAAGCACCGGCUAACUACGUGCCAGCCGCCGCAGUAACAC
rnacentral:rRNA from 1 species